rnacentral:rRNA from 1 species
GACGAACGCUGGCGGCGUGCUUAACACAUGCAAGUCGAGCGGUAAGGCCCUUUCGGGGGUACACGAGCGGCGAACGGGUGAGUAACACGUGGGUGACCUGCCCUCAGCUCUGGGAUAAGCCUGGGAAACUGGGUCUAAUACUGGAUAUGACUCCACGGUGCAUGUCGUGGGGUGGAAAGCCUUGUGCGGCUGAGGAUGGGCCCGCGGCCCAUCAGCUUGUUGGUGGGGUGAUGGCCUACCAAGGCGACGACGGGUAGCCGGCCUGAGAGGGCGACCGGCCACACUGGGACUGAGACACGGCCCAGACUCCUACGGGAGGCAGCAGUGGGGAAUCUUGCGCAAUGGGCGAAAGCCUGACGCAGCGACGCCGCGUGAGGGAUGACGGCCU